ACACAACCCCUACUUUAGUCUCACAUUUCUGCUCCCAACACUUCACACUUCUCCUCCAUCUUGCACCAGCGAAUGCAAAGAGCAAAGGGGACUUGUUUGAAUAUUCUGCCAAGACUUCAAGUUCAGUUGAUCCAUCCAACACUGAAGAAGGGUGAAGGAACCCUCAUUCAUUACUCUGACUCAACCAGAAAAAAACUUCAAGAGAUAUUCCACAACACGUUCAAUUCCAACAACAACCCAAUUGUUUGAAAGCAUUCAAGGUCAAGGUCGGGAAUAACAGUCAAUCAAGGAACCACUGAAUCACAGAGAUUUCAUAUCAGGU